CCCUUAGACGUUCUGGGCCGCACGCGCGCCACACUGACGGAGCCAGCGAGUAUAAACCUUGGCCGAGAGGUCUGGGAAAUCUUGUGAAACUCCGUCGUGCUGGGGAUAGAGCAUUGUAAUUAUUGCUCUUCAACGAGGAAUUCCUAGUAAGCGCAAGUCAUCAGCUUGCGUUGAUUACGUCCCUGCCCUUUGUACACACCGCCCGUCGCUACUACCGAUUGAAUGGCUUAGUGAGGCUUCCGGAUUGGUUUAGAGAAGGGGGCAACUCCAUCUUGGAACCGAGAAGCUAGUCAAACUUGGUCAUUUAGAGGAAGUAAAAGUCGUAACA
rnacentral:rRNA from 1 species